rnacentral:rRNA from 1 species
GUCCACGCCGUAAACGAUGGGUGCUAGGUGUCGCGGGCUUUGACCCCUGCGGUGCCGUAGCUAACGCAUUAAGCACCCCGCCUGGGGAGUACGGCCGCAAGGCUAAAACUCAAAGGAAUUGACGGGGGCCCGGCACAAGCGGUGGAGCAUGUGGUUUAAUUCGACGCAACGCGCAGAACCUUACCUGGGCUAGAAAGUGCAGGAACCUGGUCGAAAGGUCGGGGUGCUCUUCGGAGAACCUGUAGUUAGGUGCUGCAUGGCUGUCGU